UCAUGAUGAGAUUCCAGCUGGCACCAGUCAUAGAGUGACUUGUACUCCCUUCGUUGAUGACCUACAAUGCUGUGGUCUAGAACCACCUCUGAC
rnacentral:snoRNA from 1 species